rfam:Steinernema glaseri strain NC unplaced genomic scaffold GLAS_2294, whole genome shotgun sequence.
GCGUCUGUGGUGUAAUGGUCAGCAUGGUUGCCUUCCAAGCAAAUCGACAGGGGUUCGAUUCCCCUCAGACGCA